rnacentral:miRNA from 1 species
UGAUGGCUUUAGCGAUGUAGCUCC